AAAGACAAAAUAAUCUAGAGCCUUAGAUUUGAGAAGGAUAAGAUUGAAUUUUUACUUUUUCAAUGUUGCCUCAGCCUUGAAUUAACGAGCAACAUUGAAUGAGUGUAUCCGCCCAUGCCUCAGCCUUAAUUCAAAUUAAUAUUUUAAAUAGGAUGAGCGGCUAUUUUAAAUCGAAGAAGAGUUCGAAGGGCCAAAGGUCCGAAUCGUCUGAGGGAACCUCUAGCAACCCUCAAACGUCGUUUCAGGGCCAGAUGACAGCCAGACGUGCGAGCCUCCUGGAGACGGCGCAGAGGCAGCCGGAGGUGCCCCUUUCAUCGAGGCAGGCGGGCGUCCCUCGUUCCUCGAGGCAGCUGUGGCCUCAGACCCAGACGGAGGUGUCUGCACCCCGUAUGCCUGAGAUACACCGGGCGCCCACUCCAGGUCCUACUUCUUCGAGUAGUGGGUCAUCUGGGGUACAGAUGCCGCCGCCUCAUCUGUUCCUUCCGCGGAUGAUACCGGCCUUACCUGUAGUCGAUGGCUCAAGGACGCCGAUUUAUCCACUUCCCCCGCUAGUGGCUCCAUCAGCGGCGUACCGGUUCGUGCCUUUUGAUACGCCUCUUAUUUCCUCGAGGGUAUCAUCAUCGGCGACAGAGACGGAAUCCGUCGCGUCCGCCGCGAGCGCCUCAGGUAAUCAGUGAUGAAUGAUUUGUUUUCUUAUAAUUAAUAAUAAAGGGUCUCCGAUUUUAAUAAUCAAUUUGGUUUAUCAUGUGAUAGGCACCGUCGGAGCGAAGCUGACAAAGAAGAAGAGAGGCCCCGUCACAGGGAAGGCUCUCGAGAAGAUCGUGGGUACCGUGGGGAGGAUCGUCAUCAAUACUGACGGGGAUGGCCACAUAGUAUCGGGCGGGAAGUCGAGGACGUACUCCUGCCGCGUGGGAGCGCUCAUUAGGGAUAGAGUCCCUAUGUUGUGGUCAGACUGGGGCGAGGUCCCGCAGGAGGUUAAGGACAUGGUCCACAACGCGAUGUCGGUGAGUUUACAAAAUAAUAUUAUGUAUUACAUUGUUGAUUUCUCGAAAAACUAAACCAAUAAACGGUUAAAUGCAGGUGUGGUUUGAGGUUCCCGAGCACCUGAAGGACAGCUGGGCGGACGUUGUGCAUGGGGGAAGGUACGUUGGGAAGUUAAUGAA
rnacentral:lncRNA from 1 species